AGAGCCGGGAAGUUAGGGGAGGUUUCCCUGAUCUGCAGGAAUCAGCGUGGACGGCAGAGCCUCCCUGACAGGAGAGGGAAUAGUUAUGGAAGGACCUGAGAUGAGUGGAGGCGAGUGUGGAGAGGCUAUGCAGGCCCAGACUCUGGGACCCCGUAGGCCAUGGGAAGAACUUCGAUCUUCAGUCCAGGAGCCCUGGGAACGGAAUAUUGCUGGAGUGCAAUGGCACAAUCUCGGCUCACCGCAACCUCCGCCUCCCUGCCUCCUGGAUUCAAGC
rnacentral:lncRNA from 1 species